GCUUGACUGUAGUUUGGAAUAGGGUUCGGGCUUUUCUUGCGCAGCCUAGGUGGGAGGCAUUGAGGAUUUCUUUUCGGGGAAAUCGGAGCCAUCAUUGAGAGACCACUCUGGAAGAGCUAGAAUCCUAAUGGCGUUCCUUGAAUCAGGACGCUUGACAGUUUCAGAUGGGCAGUUUUCUUGGGGCGAGAUUCUAGACCAGACGGGAUGCUUGGGAAAAUUUUACAAUCUGGAAAGUCGAUUAAAAAGCAAAGUUAAAAAUUAGCAAAAUUCAUUUUGACAGUGAAACAGAAUUGUAAAAGCUUCAAGUAGAAUUUGACUAUAUGCUGGAAUGUUUCUAUAUUUAUUAUUGUGGAGGAUAAAGCUCGCCUUUUUCCGUUACCGACCCCAACUUUUAAAUAUAAAGAGAUUAUUCAAAAUCUCUGAAACUAAUCAGCAGGGAAACAACAAGAUUUGUUGUGACCUUCAAAGACUUUACGUCAAACUUUUAAGUUAUUUAUAACGUUAAAAGAUGAUAAAGUCUAACUUAUUAAUUAUUGAUUUUUAAUUAAUAAGUUGCCUAAAAGGUAACGGAGAAGCGCAAUGGUCCCCUCAACCUGGACGGAAAUCAGGCUUUGAGUGCAAAGGCAUAAGGGGGCUUGACUGCAAGACCUACAAGUCGAGCAGG
rnacentral:rRNA from 1 species